rnacentral:rRNA from 1 species
AAACCAACAGGGANUGCCUCAGUAACGGCGAGUGAAGCGGCAAAAGCUCAAAUUUGAAAUCUGGCACCUUCGGUGUCCGAGUUGUAAUUUGAAGAAGGUAACUUUGGAGUUGGCUCUUGUCUAUGUUCCUUGGAACAGGACGUCACAGAGGGUGAGAAUCCCGUGCGAUGAGAUGUCCAACUCUAUGUAAAGUGCUUUCGAAGAGUCGAGUUGUUUGGGAAUGCAGCUCUAAGUGGGUGGUAAAUUCCAUCUAAAGCUAAAUAUUGGCGAGAGACCGAUAGCGAACAAGUACAGUGAUGGAAAGAUGAAAAGAACUUUGAAAAGAGAGUGAAAAAGUACGUGAAAUUGUUGAAAGGGAAGGGCUUGAGAUCAGACUUGGUAUUUUGCAAGCCUUACCUUCGUGGUGGGGUCCCCUGCAGUUUACUGGGCCAGCAUCCGUUUGGAUGGUAGGAUAAUGACUUGGGAAUGUGGCUUUGCUUCGGUAAAGUGUUUAAGCCCUUGGUG